rnacentral:rRNA from 1 species
GAUUCGUCACACUAUCAUUAACUGAAUCCAUAGGUUAAUGAGGCGAACCGGGGGAACUGAAACAUCUAAGUACCCCGAGGAAAAGAAAUCAACCGAGAUUCCCCCAGUAGCGGCGAGCGAACGGGGAGGAGCCCAGAGCCUGAAUCAGCAUGUGUGUUAGUGGAAGCGUCUGGAAAGGCGCGCGAUACAGGGUGACAGCCCCGUACACAAAAGCGCAUGUGCUGUGAGCUCGAUGAGUAGGGCGGGACACGUGGUAUCCUGUCUGAAUAUGGGGGGACCAUCCUCCAAGGCUAAAUACUCCUGACUGACCGAUAGUGAACCAGUACCGUGAGGGAAAGGCGAAAAGAACCCCGGCGAGGGGAGUGAAAAAGAACCUGAAACCGUGUACGUACAAGCAGUGGGAGCCCCACCACUAAGCCAGUGGUGAACUCCACAUCCGCAUCCUUUGCUGAGGAUACGGUUAACGGAGCGAAAGCGACGUUCAACCGCAAAACAAGCAGAGGGGGCUUAGUGGUGGGGUGACUGCGUACCUUUUGUAUAAUGGGUCAGCGACUUAUAUUCUGUAGCAAGGUUAACCGUAUAGGGGAGCCGGAGGGAAACCGAGUCUUAACCGGGCGUUAAGUUGCAGGGUAUAGACCCGAAACCCGGUGAUCUAGCCAUGGGCAGGUUGAAGGUUGGGUAACACUAACUGGAGGACCGAACCGACUAAUGUUGAAAAAUUAGCGGAUGACCUGUGGCUGGGGGUGAAAGGCCAAUCAAACCGGGAGAUAGCUGGUUCUCCCCGAAAGCUAUUUAGGUAGCGCCUCGUGAAUUCAUCUCCGGGGGUAGAGCACUGUUUCGGCUAGGGGGCCAUCCCGGCUUACCAACCCGAUGCAAACUGCGAAUACCGGAGAAUGUUAUCACGGGAGACACACGGCGGGUGCUAACGUCCGUCGUGAAGAGGGAAACAACCCAGACCGCCAGCUAAGGUCCCAAAGUCAUGGUUAAGUGGGAAACGAUGUGGGAAGGCCCAGACAGCCAGGAUGUUGGCUUAGAAGCAGCCAUCAUUUAAAGAAAGCGUAAUAGCUCACUGGUCGAGUCGGCCUGCGCGGAAGAUGUAACGGGGCUAAACCAUGCACCGAAGCUGCGGCAGCGAACGUAUCACCCAAGACAACUUUACGGAGUUGACGAUUGACGGAGCGAAGCGACGUCAAAGCGUUCAUUAAAGUCGAGUUGGCUUAGGGAUACGUUCGUUGGGUAGGGGAGCGUUCUGUAAGCCUGUGAAGGUGUGUCGUGAGGCAUGCUGGAGGUAUCAGAAGUGCGAAUGCUGACAUAAGUAACGAUAAAGCGGGUGAAAAGCCCGCUCGCCGGAAGACCAAGGGUUCCUGUCCAACGUUAAUCGGGGCAGGGUGAGUCGACCCCUAAGGCGAGGCCGAAAGGCGUAGUCGAUGGGAAACGGGUUAAUAUUCCCGUACUUGGUGUUACUGCGAAGGGGGGACGGAGAAGGCUAUGUUGGCCGGGCGACGGUUGUCCCGGUUUAAGCGUGUAGGUGUGUGUUCCAGGUAAAUCCGGUUCACUUUAACACUGAGGCGUGACGACGAGGCACUACGGUGCUGAAGCAACAAAUGCCCUGCUUCCAGGAAAA